UACGAAGGGGGCUAGCGUUGCUCGGAAUCACUGGGCGUAAAGGGCGCGUAGGCGGCGUUUUAAGUCGGGGGUGAAAGCCUGUGGCUCAACCACAGAAUGGCCUUCGAUACUGGGACGCUUGAGUAUGGUAGAGGUUGGUGGAACUGCGAGUGUAGAGGUGAAAUUCGUAGAUAUUCGCAAGAACACCGGUGGCGAAGGCGGCCAACUGGACCAUCACUGACGCUGAGGCGCGAAAGCGUGGGAGCAAACAGG
rnacentral:rRNA from 1 species